rnacentral:rRNA from 1 species
GCUCAGGACGAACGCUGGCGGCGUGCCUAAUACAUGCAAGUGGAACGCACUUACAUCACCGGAGCUUGCUCCACCGAUGUAAGUGAGUCGCGAACGGGUGAGUAACGCGUAGGUAACCUGCCUCAUAGCGGGGGAUAACUAUUGGAAACGAUAGCUAAUACCGCAUAACAGUAUUUACCGCAUGGUAGAUGCUUGAAAGGAGCAACUGCUUCACUAUGAGAUGGACCUGCGUUGUAUUAGCUAGUUGGUGGGGUAACGGCUCACCAAGGCAUCGAUACAUAGCCGACCUGAGAGGGUGAUCGGCCACACUGGGACUGAGACACGGCCCAGACUCCUACGGGAGGCAGCAGUAGGGAAUCUUCGGCAAUGGGGGGAACCCUGACCGAGCAACGCCGCGUGAGUGAAGAAGGUUUUCGGAUCGUAAAGCUCUGUUGUAAGAGNAGAACAGUGAGAAGAGUGGAAAGUUCUCACA